UACGGAGGGGGCUAGCGUUGUUCGGAAUUACUGGGCGUAAAGGGCGCGUAGGCGGCUCUGAUCGUCGGAUGUGAAAGUCCGGGGCUCAACUCCGGAUCUGCGGUGGGUACGGGCAGACUAGAGUGAUGUAGGGGAGACUGGAAUUCCUGGUGUAGCGGUGAAAUGCGCAGAUAUCAGGAGGAACACCGAUGGCGAAGGCAGGUCUCUGGGCAUUAACUGACGCUGAGGAGCGAAAGCAUGGGGAGCGAACAGG
rnacentral:rRNA from 1 species